GUUGUAUGGUUAAGUGACUAAGCGUACACGGUGGAUGCCUGGGCAGUCAGAGGCGAUGAAGGACGUACUAACUUGCGAUAAGCGCAGAUAAGGCAGUAAGAGCCGUUUGAGUCUGCGAUUUCCGAAUGGGGAAACCCAACUGCAUAAGCAGUUACUGUUAACUGAAUACAUAGGUUAACAGAGCAAACCGGGGGAACUGAAACAUCUAAGUACCCCGAGGAGAAGAAAUCAACCGAGAUUCCGGUAGUAGCGGCGAGCGAACCUGGAUUAGCCCUUAAGCACUCGGUGAAGUAGGUGAACAAGCUGGAAAGCUUGGCGAUACAGGGUGAUAGCCCCGUAACCGACGCUUCAUCGAGCGUGAAAUCGAGUAGGGCGGGACACG
rnacentral:rRNA from 1 species